rnacentral:rRNA from 1 species
UGGGGGAUAUUGCACAAUGGGGGAAACCCUGAUGCAGCGACGCCGCGUGGGCGAAGAAGUAUUUCGGUAUGUAAAGCCCUAUCAGCAGGGAAGAAGAAAUGACGGUACCUGAGUAAGAAGCACCGGCUAAAUACGUGCCAGCAGCCGCGGUAAUACGUAUGGUGCAAGCGUUAUCCGGAUUUACUGGGUGUAAAGGGAGCGCAGGCGGCACGGCAAGCCUGAUGUGAAAGCCCGCGGCCCAACCGCGGGACUGCAUUGGGAACUACCGGGCUGGAGUGCCGGAGAGGUAGGCGGAAUUCCUAGUGUAGCGGUGAAAUGCGUAGAUAUUAGGAGGAACACCAGUGGCGAAGGCGGCUUGCUGGACUGUAACUGACGUUGAGGCUCGAAAGCGUGGGGAGCAAACAGG